rnacentral:rRNA from 1 species
UACGUAGGGAGCAAGCGUUGUUCGGAGUUACUGGGCGUAAAGGGUGCGUAGGCGGCCGCAUAAGUCUGUUGUGAAAUCUCCCGGCUUAACUGGGAGGGUGCGCUAUAAACUGCGUGGCUAGAGUGUGGGAGAGGAAAGUGGAAUUCCUGGUGUAGCGGUGAAAUGCGUAGAUAUCAGGAGGAACACCGGUGGUGUAAACGGCUUUCUGGACCAUAACUGACGCUGAGGCACGAAAGCGUGGGUAGCAAACAGG